GGGCCUAUAGUUUAGCGGUAAAACAGCGGUCUCCAAAACCGCCGUCCCAGGUUCGAGUCCUGGUGGGCCCGCAA
rnacentral:tRNA from 7 species